GACGUAGGAUGCGAGCGUUAUUCGGAAUUAUUGGGCGUAAAGCGCACGUAGGCGGCUUUGCAAGUCCCAUGUGAAAUCCCACGGCUCAACCGUGGAAGUGCAUGGGAAACUGCAGAGCUUGAGUACUUAAGAGGAUCGCGGAAUUCCCGGUGUAGAGGUGAAAUUCGUAGAUAUCGGGAGGAACACCAGUGGCGAAGGCGGCGAUCUGGGAAGAUACUGACGCUGAGGUGCGAAAGCGUGGGGAGCAAACAGG
rnacentral:rRNA from 1 species